GCAGUCGAGCGGUAGAGAGAAGCUUGCUUCUCUUGAGAGCGGCGGACGGGUGAGUAAUGCCUAGGAAUCUGCCUGGUAGUGGGGGAUAACGUCCGGAAACGGACGCUAAUACCGCAUACGUCCUACGGGAGAAAGCAGGGGACCUUCGGGCCUUGCGCUAUCAGAUGAGCCUAGGUCGGAUUAGCUAGUUGGUGAGGUAAUGGCUCACCAAGGCGACGAUCCGUAACUGGUCUGAGAGGAUGAUCAGUCACACUGGAACUGAGACACGGUCCAGACUCCUACGGGAGGCAGCAGUGGGGAAUAUUGCACAAUGGGCGAAAGCCUGAUCCAGCCAUGCCGCGUGUGUGAAGAAGGUCUUCGGAUUGUAAAGCACUUUAAGUUGGGAGGAAGGGCAUUAACCUAAUACGUUAGUGUUUUGACGUUACCGACAGAAUAAGCACCGGCUAACUCUGUGCCAGCAGCCGCGGUAAUACAGAGGGUGCAAGCGUUAAUCGGAAUUACUGGGCGUAAAGCGCGCGUAGGUGGUUUGUUAAGUUGGAUGUGAAAGCCCCGGGCUCAACCUGGGAACUGCAUUCAAAACUGACAAGCUAGAGUAUGGUACAGGGUGGUGGAAUUUCCUGUGUAGCGGUGAAAUGCGUAGAUAUAGGAAGGAACACCAGUGGCGAAGGCUACCACCUGGACUGAUACUGACACUGAGGUGCGAANCGUGGGGAGCAUACAGGAUUAGAUACCUGGUAGUCCACGCCGUAANCGAUGUCAACUAGCCGUUGGGANCUUGAGCUCUAAGUGGCGCAGCUAACGCAUUAGUUGACCCCUGGGGAGUACGGCCCCAGGUUAAAACUCAGUG
rnacentral:rRNA from 1 species